CAUGACCUACGGGGGGCAGCAGUGGGGGAUAUUGCACAAUGGGGGAAACCCUGAUGCAGCGACGCCGCGUGUGGGAAGACGGUCUUCUGGAUUGUAAACCACUGUCCCCAGGGACGAAAAUGACGGUACCUGGGGAGGAAGCUCCGGCUAACUCCGUGCCAGCAGCCGCGGUAAUACGGAGGAUGCGAGCGUUAUCCGGAUUUAUUGGGUUUAAAGGGUGCGUAGGCGGAUUUUUAAGUCAGCGGUAAAAUGUCCGGGCUCAACCCGGGCCGGCCGUUGAAACUGGGGAUCUUGAGUGGGCGAGG
rnacentral:rRNA from 1 species